UGACCCUUAUAGGUGCAGACAACUAGACUUGAGCUACACGUGACAUCUCCACACAUGGGACAAGACAAUACACGUCAAAAUGCUCAAUAGGAAAACUGGUGUCGAAGCAAGUCCACACAGAUCAAAGAGAGUUGUGGAGUUUGGAAGAACUUUGUAGAGCACAGUAUGCUUCCUUCUAUCAAGAAGAAUUAUGAUCUUGGCAUCAGACAGUUUCUGGUGCAUUGAUAGCAGUCAUAUCCCUCAGCUAAUAGCCUCUGUUCCCCAUUUCU
rnacentral:lncRNA from 1 species